GGAUAAUAGGAAUAGAAUGCCUUUUGUUUCACUGAAACUCUGAAUUUAUAACCUGAUUUUUGUGGACCUGUGGGCUCAAAUGAGAGAGGCCCAAGUCCAAAAUUUUUCUAUUAUAUUUUAUUUAUUUAUUUAUUUAUUUACUUCUUUUUUUUCGUUUUUCGUUUUCUUUUUCGUUUUUUUUUUCAUUUUUUUUUUUCGUUUUUCGUUUUUUUUUAAACAUGUGGGCUUCGCCUAGCGAGCAUGACAGUUCAAG
rnacentral:lncRNA from 1 species